GAUGAACGCUGGCGGCGUGCCUAUUACAUGCAAGUCGAGCGAAUGGAUUAGGAGCUUGCUCUUAUGAAGUUAGCGGCGGACGGGUGAGUAACACGUGGGUAACCUGCCCAUAAGACUGGGAUAACUCCGGGAAACCGGGGCUAAUACCGGAUAACAUUUUGAACCGCAUGGUUCGAAAUUGAAAGGCGGCUUCGGCUGUCACUUAUGGAUGGACCCGCGUCGCAUUAGCUAGUUGGUGAGGUAACGGCUCACCAAGGCAACGAUGCGUAGCCGACCUGAGAGGGUGAUCGGCCACACUGGGACUGAGACACGGCCCAGACUCCUACGGGAGGCAGCAGUAGGGAAUCUUCCGCAAUGGACGAAAGUCUGACGGAGCAACGCCGCGUGAGUGAGGAAGGCUUUCGGGUCGUAAAACUCUGUUGUUAGGGAAGAACAAGUGCUAGUUGAAUAAGCUGGCACCUUGACGGUACCUAACCAGAAAGCCACGGCUAACUACGUGCCAGCCGCCGCAGUAA
rnacentral:rRNA from 1 species